rnacentral:misc_RNA from 1 species
ACCUUGCCAAGAGAUGGUGGUAGACUCGAACUUGUGACUUCAGGGCUAGAUUGUUAUCUUCCUGCUACCCGUCUUCUAUGAGAAAUUGAGAUGUUAAGAAUAAGUCUCAACUCUUGGGACAGUUAAAAUCGUAAUAGAGGAAAAAAAGAGGAAAAGAACACCCAAAUGAAGGACAAAAACUUUAAUUCCCACAACUACAAAUGUACAAGACUGCGGCCUAAUCACUCAGCAUCCCGGUCUACACAACUAUAGAUCCAGGAGCAGCUUGAUUAUGGGUAGGAAUAACAGGGAAAAAAGAAGAUAUUGAAAUUCCCUCACAACUGUUCACGGGGAUUAAAGCAGUUUCCACUUCCACAGAAGGAUUCUUCCUCAGUACAGUGAAAAUGUAUUCCAUAAAUUCUUCCUCACAAGGAACUUGCAGUGGUCCAUGAGUCGUGGUUCCGAAUUCCUCCUCAGCCAUUUCCAGUAGAACUCUGAAGAUGGGGUGAUUCAAAUAAUAUAAAGGCACAACGAACCUCUUGCCUUCCUUGGUGUAGACAGCAAAAUGGCCUUUCUUUCUCUUAGUCCAUUUCCAAAUGAUAUCGCUUAGAACCUUAGAAGAACUCUUCAUGUGCUAAAAGAAACCAGGAUUUUGUUUCUUAUAGAUUUUUUUGUAGGUUGAGGUUCAGAUUACUGGGUUCUCGCACUGGAAUAUAUGUUGAUUUUUGUAGGCAGUUGGUGAGUGGCAGGCAGGCAGGCAUUUGGAGGAAGCUUAUAAAAAAAGCUAAGGUGAUGUGAG